UCUCAGUCUUUAUUAGCUACACCUGUGUCCACAGCUUGCCCUUUUUGUUGCAUGUGUUUACACAGUGCAGAGGAUUGAGUUUUACUCCUUUCUGUGUUUUUUCUUGCGUGUGCGUAAUUGACCAUAAACCACACGCACACCCACACAUCUAGAUGCACAAGACCUCCUUGGAUGUACAAUAAACUUUCCUAUACCUGGUUUGACUAGACUGGACCUGUUCUUACCGACAGCCCCACUGGCUUCAAGCUAGCUACCCAACACCUGGCACUUCUUGGGCAUCAAUCCACAGAGGCAGAUAGGACAUAUCAACCAGCAAGUCUGUACACUAAUCAGGAAACUCAUUGAGUUCGAAUGGAUGUCAAUCUAGUGUAUAAGCAAUGUUCCAACGCCAAAAUGGACAAACUCAACUCUGGCUUUGUGUUAAGCUAGAUGUAGUCAUGCAGUAAGAUGAUCACUGAAUAUGUUCUAUAGUGUGUUCUGGUUCAGUGGAGAGAAGCAUGACCAUCUGAACCUCGUUGCUGGAAAGUUUAGACAGAAUUUAUUAAACUGCAAAAUAAA